UCUGCACCCAAACCCAAAGGUCUCGUUCUUCUCCGUAGCGAGAUUUUGUCUGGCGUGCAAACAGAACCAGAACCUUGUCGCCUUUCUCUGACUGUCGUGUCUUUGAAAGUGAAUUCUUGGUCCGACACUA
rnacentral:snoRNA from 1 species